GCCAUGGUAUUAAUAGUUAUGAUCUUUAAAUUAAAAUAAUUUGGCGGUAAUUUAGUCUUUUCAGAGGAACCUGUUCUGUUAUCGAUAAUCCACGUUGGAUUUUACUUUAAUUUUUGUUUAUAUAUCUCUGUCAUUGAAUGUUUUAUUAGAAUAUUUUCUUUUAACAUUAAUUUGUUUAAUGUCAGGUCAAGGUGUAGCUAUAUUAAGGUUUGAAAUGGGUUACAUUUAAUUUGAUUUAUUGGAUUUAUUAUUUUGGAAUUUAAU
rnacentral:rRNA from 1 species